rnacentral:rRNA from 1 species
UACGUAGGGCGCAAGCGUUAUCCGGAAUUAUUGGGCGUAAAGAGCUCGUAGGCGGUUUGUCGCGUCUGCCGUGAAAGUCCGGGGCUCAACUCCGGAUCUGCGGUGGGUACGGGCAGACUAGAGUGAUGUAGGGGGAGACUGGAAUUCCUGGUGUAGCGGGUGAAAAUGCGCAGAUAUCAGGAGGAACACCGAUGGCGAAGGCAGGUCUCUGGGCAUUAACUGACGCUGGAGGAGCGAAAGCAUGGGGAGCGAACAGG